GACGAACGCUGGCGGCGUGCCUAUACAUGCAAGUCGAACGCUUCUUUUCCCACCGGAGCUUGCUCCACCGGGAAAAGAGGAGUGGCGAACGGGUGAGUAACACGUGGGUAACCUGCCCAUCAGAAGGGGAUAACACUUGGAAACAGGUGCUAAUACCGUAUAACAAUCGAAACCGCAUGGUUUCGUUUUGAAAGGCGCUUUACGGUGCCGCUGAUGGAUGGACCCGCGGUGCAUUAGCUAGUUGGUGAGGUAACGGCUCACCAAGGCCACGAUGCAUAGCCGACCUGGGAGGGUGAUCGGCCACAUUGGGACUGAGACACGGCCCAAACUCCUACGGGAGGCAGCAGUAGGGAAUCUUCGGCAAUGGACGAAAGUCUGACCGAGCAACGCCGCGUGAGUGAAGAAGGUUUUCGGAUCGUAAAACUCUGUUGUUAGAGAAGAACAAGGGUGAGAGUAACUGUUCACCCCUUGACGGUAUCUAACCAGAAAGCCACGGCUAACUACGUGCCAGCCGCCGCGGUAA
rnacentral:rRNA from 1 species